rnacentral:rRNA from 1 species
GACGAACGCUGGCGGCGUGCUUAACACAUGCAAGUCGAGCGGUAAGGCCCUUUCGGGGGUACACGAGCGGCGAACGGGUGAGUAACACGUGGGUGACCUGCCCUCAGCUCUGGGAUAAGCCUGGGAAACUGGGUCUAAUACUGGAUAUGACUCCACGGUGCAUGUCGUGGGGUGGAAAGCCUUGUGCGGCUGAGGAUGGGCCCGCGGCCUAUCAGCUUGUUGGUGGGGUGANGGGCCUACCAAGGCGACGACGGGUAGCCGGCCUGAGAGGGCGACCGGCCACACUGGGACUGAGACACGGCCCAGACUCCUACGGGAGGCAGCAGUGGGGAAUCUUGCGCAAUGGGCGAAAGCCUGACGCAGCGACGCCGCGUGAGGGAUGACGGCCUCGG